GAAUGAAUGCUUAAGGUGUGCUUAACUCAUGCAAGUCUGACGAGGUUCAAAAAUUUGAACAUACUUGUGGCGCAUACGUGAGUAAUAUCCCGGAACUAGCCCGAAGGUAGGGUUAAAUUUCCCUGUCCUUUUUUUUAAGAUACUAAAAUCGCGAAAGAGAUACUUAUACUCUAUAGCCAAAGAUUAAUCGCCUUCGGAUCGGCUGGGUGAGUAUCAAGGUAGUUGGCAGGGUGAGGGCCUACCAAGCCGGUGACGCUUAGCUGUUUUGCGAGAUCGUGGAGCCACGCCGGGACUGAAAUAAAGCCCGGACUUUUUCGAAAGUCAGCAGAGUGGAAUUUUGGGCAAUGAGCGCAAGCUUGACCCAGCGACACCCUGUGGGUGAUGACGGACACGCGUAGCCGUAAAGCCACUUUCAAAAGAGAAUGAUGAUGUUAUUUUGAAAGUUAAGCCCCGGCAAACUUCGUGCCAGCAGCCGCGGUAAAACGGAGGGGGCAAGUGUUAUUCUUAAUGACUGGGCGUAAGGGAUACGUAGGUUGCUCUUCUAACUUUGGUUCUAAAUGCUGCAUAUUUAAUUGUAGAAAGGCCUUAUGUUAACGUUGAGCUGGAGUAGUUAGUCAAAGUAGACUGGAGUCUUAGUUUAGGGAUAAAAUUCUUUGAAAUUAAAGGGGCCGCUCAGAGAAGAAGUUGGUCUGCUAGAGACUACUGACGCUGAGGUAUGAAAGCAUGGGUAUCAAAGGGGAUUCGGUACCCCGUAGUCCACGCCGUCAAUAAAAGAUAUUCCGUAUUUGUUGAAAAAAAAAUUGCAUUUCGGUAGUUAACGCGUAAACAUCUCGCUGGGGACUACAAUCGCAAGGUUAAAACUCAAAGGAAUUGGCAGGAAUUCAUACAAGCGGUGGAGCAUGUGGUUUAAUUCGAUAGUCCGCGCCAAACCUUACCAGUCUUCGAUUUGGCUCAGGUAUCUUUCGUAUAACUGGAAAUGAUAUUGAGUAACAGGUGUUGCAUGGCUGUCGUCAGACCGUGCUGUGAGGUGUUCGGAGAUAUUCGAUUUAACGGUCGCAACCUUACUAUCUAGUUGCUUUAAUUUCUUUAGCUUCGGCUAAAGGAAAGCUCUCUAGGUAAACUAAUUCUGUUCUUGGUUCGCCAAGAACGAAUGUGGAGACAGAGAUAACGCCAAGUCUGCAUGACCUUUAUAGACUGGGCUACACAUGUGCUACAAUGGCGACGACAAAAAGAAGCAAAAAGGCAACUUUGAGCAAAUCUUCAAAAACCGUCAAGUUCGGAUUGCUCUUUGCAAGUCAAGAGCAUGAAGUUGGAAUCGCAAGUAAUCGCGAAUCAGCAUGUCGCGGUGAAAGGUUGACUGGAUUCGGUACACACUGCCCAUCACGCUGCGGAAUCUGGCUUGCUUGAAUCUUCAAUGAACCCUCUGUAAGACUUCUGAAACAGUUUUUUAGAGUAACUCUUUUUCUGUAGAUGGUUAAGAGGUGGAUUAUGAAGUGAUAGAUGGGUUGGAAACUGAAGC
rnacentral:rRNA from 1 species